rnacentral:rRNA from 1 species
UACGUAGGUGGCAAGCGUUAUCCGGAAUUACUGGGCGUAAAGCGCACGCAGGUGACUCGCUAAGACGGACGUGAAAGCUCCUGGCUUAACUGGGAGAGGUCGUUGGUGACUGGCGGGCUGGAGGCGAGGAGAGGGGUGUAGAAUUCCCGGUGUAGUGGUGGAAUGCGUAGAGAUCGGGAGGAAUACCAGUGGCGAAGGCGGCACCCUGGCCUUGGCCUGACGCUCAGGUGCGAAAGCGUGGGGAGCAAACGGG